GAUAAAUAAAAAUGUAAACACAUAUUCCCUAAUCCCAUGUGCAACCCCGUCUUAAGAAUAAUUGGAGUGUGACAUGGUCAUGUGAGCUCGACUAUAAUGCAUGUACCUAAUGCGACAGCGAGCUCCUAAUUAGUAACUUCUUUUCUUUAGUUGGAGAAACAUCCGUUCGAAAACACAUAUUCUGUGUCUUGUUCAUUCGUAGAUGGCUAUUCUGCAAGUUGAGUGUUGGAUCAAAAUCUAGUAUCACAAAAUAAAGAAUAUUUGUGUCAAAUAUAAAUAACCAAAUGAUUCUAUUGACAUUAAAUUUUUUAAACGGAGUUGGACUUUUUUUCAAGUUAAAAUAAAAAAUAAUUCAAAAUUCAGAUUUUAAAUCCAUAUAAAGAGGCUCUUAACAGAUGUUGCACAACUAAGAGUUGAUAUUAGAACUCUUGAUUAUGAGUCGGUCUUAAAGUUACGCUCUGCUCUAAUUUGUUGUAAGGACUCUAACUUAAAAUGUGGUAAUAGAUUAUGAAUAAUUCGUGUCAAAAUUCUUGCAGACAUUGAGAUGGACGGUGAACAUGUCAAGCAAGACGAGUAUGAGCAGAUGAAUAUUGAUCACACAAAAAAUCGCAGAGUAAUUCUUUGGAUUAGAUUGUGGAGAAAUUGUUAAGUGGGAGUCAAUUAAAAUCUAAUAUAAUGAUUAUAAAAAGGUUUUUAUAUAUAUGGACAAACAACUUCAUUUAGAGCAUCUUCAAUAUAAUUGUUUAUAAUUACGGAUUAAAUAAAUUAAUAAAAGAUUAUGUAUAAUUUGCUAAAUUUGUUACCUACUUUGUUUCGAUGAUAUCAUAUUUAAAUAUAACAUAUUAUUAUUAUUAUUUCAAGUUAAGUUAUUGAUAUAAGUUGCUCUUAUAUGAUCUUUUGCUAAGAAUUAAGAAAAAAAUUCAAGUCAAACAUGGUUAGGAUUCAAAACGGACAAUAUUGUGUAUGUAAUUAGUGGAUGUUAUGCAGCUAAACUUAUGUUUAUGAGCUUGAGAUAUGAACUAAUUACACAUACCGUCUUAUUACAAGAAGUAUCAACAUUAUUAACAUUAUAUUAUUUGUCAAGGAACCAGUUACUCUAAAAUAGGGUUGAGCAAGCUGUCGGUUCGGUCAAAAACCGAACCGAACCGAAAUAACCAAAAACCGGAAUUUCUUAUUUUUGAAAACCGAACCGAACCGUAGUUGUCUUUCAAACCGAACCGAACCGAACCGAAAAAUACUUCGGUUUUUUCGGUUCGGUUAAAAAUUAACCGAAGUUUUUUUUUUGAAAAAGAGCUGCAGCAAUAAAACGAUUAACAUCCACCCCUCAACGAUCAAACUUUGGUAACAUGACCAAGCAGUAGCCUAAUUUGUAUUCAACAGGAAAUAUUAUAUACUACAAUAAUCAUUGCCAUGGUCCCAUCACCCAUGGACAGCAGAGAAUCAAACUUGCCUCUUGAAUCUGAAGUAGCCGUCGUGUCGUCGAUCACUGGUGAUGUCGUCGGUCUUGGUGGUGGCGCAAGGCGCUGGUGGAGUGGUCGUGGACUCGUGGUGGGUGGCUGCUUGUGCGUAUAACAGUCUAACAGAGUAAAAGAUGAGAUGGGCUAUUGGUUUUAGGGUUAGAGUAUUUACCACUUGUAAAUAAUCAGUAAUGUAUAUAAAUCAUAUAUAUUAUUUAUAUUAAAUAUAAAUAUAAUUUAAAAUAUAUAAAUAUUUAAAACUUCGGUUAUUUCGGUUAAACCGAACUUUUGGGUUUCAAAAACCGGACCGAACCGAA
rnacentral:lncRNA from 1 species